rnacentral:rRNA from 1 species
GUGGGGAAUAUUGGACAAUGGGGGGAACCCUGAUCCAGCCAUGCCGCGUGUGUGAAGAAGGCCUUUUGGUUGUAAAGCACUUUAAGUGGGGAGGAGGCUUACCUGGUUAAUACCUGGGCUAAGUGGACGUUACCCACAGAAUAAGCACCGGCUAACUCUGUGCCAGCAGCCGCGGUAAUACAGAGGGUGCAAGCGUUAAUCGGAUUUACUGGGCGUAAAGCGCGCGUAGGUGGUUAAUUAAGUCAAAUGUGAAAUCCCCGAGCUUAACUUGGGAAUUGCAUUCGAUACUGGUUGGCUAGAGUAUGGGAGAGGAUGGUAGAAUUCCAGGUGUAGCGGUGAAAUGCGUAGAGAUCUGGAGGAAUACCGAUGGCGAAGGCAGCCAUCUGGCCUAAUACUGACACUGAGGUGCGAAAGCAUGGGGAGCAAACAGGAUUAGAUACCCCAGUAGUCC